ensembl:lncRNA
GAGGCUAUAUACAGUAGAGAGGCUAUAUACAGUAGAGAGGCUAUAUACAGUAGAGAGGCUAUAUACAGUAGAGAGGCUAUAUACAGUAGCGAGGCUAUAUACAGUAGAGAGGCUAUAUACAGUAGAGAGGCUAUUUUUUUUUUUUUUUUCACCUUUAUUUAACCAGGUAGGCUAGUUGAGAACAAGUUCUCAUUUGCAACUGCGACCUGGCCAAGAUAAAGCAUAGCAGUGUGAGCAGACAACACAGAGUUACACAUGGAAUAAACAAUUAACAAGUCAAUAACACAGUAGAAAACAAAGGGGGGAGUCUAUAUACAAUGUGUGCAAAAGGCAUGAGGAGGUAGGCGAAUAAUUACAAUUUUGCAGAUUAACACUGGAGUGAUAAAUGAUCAGAUGGUCAUGUACAGGUAGAGAUAUUGGUGUGCAAAAGAGCAGAAAAG